rnacentral:rRNA from 1 species
GACGAACGCUGGCGGCGUGCCUAAUACAUGCAAGUUGAGCGCUGAAGGUUGGUCCUUGUACCAACUGGAUGAGCAGCGAACGGGUGAGUAACGCGUGGGGAAUCUGCCUUUGAGCGGGGGACAACAUUUGGAAACGAAUGCUAAUACCGCAUAAAACCUUUAAACACAAGUUUUAAGUUUGAAAGAUGCAAUUGCAUCACUCAAAGAUGAUCCCGCGUUGUAUUAGCUGGUUGGUGAGGUAAAGGCUCACCAAGGCGAUGAUACAUAGCCGGCCUGAGAGGGUGAUCGGCCACAUUUGGACUGAGACACGGCCCAAACUCCUACGGGAGGCAGCAGUAGGGGAUCUUCGGCAAUGGACGAAAGUCUGACCGAGCAACGCCGCGGGAGUGAAGGAGGUUUUCGGAUCGGAAAACUCUGUUGGUAGAGAAGGACGUUGGUGAGGGUAGAAAGCUCAUCAAGUGACGGUAACUACCCAGAAAGCGACGGCUAACUACGUG